GGGUCAUAUUUUCGUAUGACAGUAUUAUGAAACGUGUCAGCUCUUUCUGGUGUUUUAUUUCUUUAGGUUUUGAUAAGUUCUUGCUGGUCUUUUAUUUUCUUGUUUUCUGUGUGAUCUCGCGAGAGUUUGGCGGGAAUGUUGUGCAGGUUUUGAAAAGAGUUUACGUGGUUGAUGUAGAGAACAUUCUGUUAAUUUGAACUUGUUUAUAUGAUUUACAUUUGGUUGAGCUAUCCAAGUGUUUGUGAGAAGUAUUUAAGUUAACCAUCACGUGAGACAGGAUGUAUGUGAUGUGAAGUGAAGUGCUAUAGAUUCUAAUUUGUCAUUGGUUUAUUGUGGAAUAGGCUUAAGAUCCCAUAGAUCUUGCCUUGAUUAAAGUUAACUUCAACAGAGAAGAUAUAUUGUAUAUUCAUGAUAUUGACUGUAUAUGUAGAUUGGAAACAAUAAAUGACUAACCACAUCUACCCUGUGUUAUAACACCAUGUGUUACAAUAGUAUGACUUAGGCGCUAUAAAUUUCAUUCAUUCCGUUGAAAUGUGCAGUUCAGAUGUUGUUUAGAAAAUAAACUUGUGAUAUUUGCUUAAAUAGGUUCAUUAAUGAAUAUACUUGCAAUUUAAGAUAAACAUAUGGUUAUAUUUGUUGUCUACAUUUAUAUAUUUUUUUGUGUAUGACUUUGUUCAAAUUUCAUACAAGUGUCCAUGAUAAUAUUUUUUUUUUAAAUUUUAUAUAGCUUUAAUGGAGUAGGCCCUAUACUGUAGUUGGGUAUAUUUUGGUUCUAGUCCAACUAAUUGUAUUAUGCGACGAGAUAUUGUGCCAUUUUCUUGUCUGGGCAAUAUCUCGCCUCUACAUAAAAACGAGAUUCUGCCCCUGGCAGAACGAAAAUAUCUCAGAAACAAGGUUUCGCACAUCAAUAUAUUUUGACUAAUUUUGGUUAAAACUACAAUGAUAGGAAAAUGUAUAUUUGGAUAUGUUUGAUUUUAUAUUAGUAAAUGUGCAUAUUAUAAUUUAUAAUGAAAACAGCAUUUUUUUGUAUAAAACAAUUACUUUUAGUAUUUUUGGACAAUAUUUGUGUAUAUUUGGGCAAUAUUUGGGUGUAUUUGGGCAAUAUUUGGGUAUUUCGUGCUGCCCCAUCUGAGAAUGGAAUUUAACCACACAUUUUAUAAAAUUUUCAAUUCAAUUCAAUUUAACAUGGAUGGUACACAGCAGAGGCUAUAGGGACAGCUUUCUGUCUUCUAGCUGAUGUAAUAGUCGGAUGCUGUUAAGUAAUGGUUCUGAUGAAGAAGUGCACAAGGCAUUUCACUGGAAAAUAUUAGCUUUUUUGAGGGGAAAAUAUACCUAUUUUUAGGUAGGGGAAACAGCCUUUAUUUGGCUGUAAAAUACAGGGGAAAAAAUCACUGACAUUUAAAUAUUCAAUGUAAGCCCUACUGAAUUGUCUGCUGAAAAAGUACUUGGAUUUUUUUAAAAAUUACUUUUAAAAAACAUAUAAAUGAAAAACUAAUUGAUUAAAGAAACUUUAAGUGAAAACUAAGUCUUGUUGAUCCCAUUCCUACCUAGAACACUAUACAUGUAUAAGGUCAUAAAUAAAGUUCAUUAA